CCCUUAGAUGUUCUGGGCCGCACGCGUGCUACACUGAGUGGAUCAGCGGGUCAGGUUGCGCGAAAGUGUUUCCUAAUCUUUAAAUCCGCUCGUGAUGGGGAUUGACGGUUGCAAUUUUCCGUCAUGAACGAGGAAUACCUUGUAAGCGCGGGUCAUCAUCCCGCGCUGAAUACGUCCCUGCCCUUUGUACACACCGCCCGUCGCUCCUACCGAUUGAGUGGUCCGGUGAGGCUUUGGGAUCUGAGCGGAAAGAGCGUUUCGCUGUUUCUGCCCGGAAAACUCAGUCGAACCAUAUCAUUUAGAGGAAGGAGAAGUCGUAACA
rnacentral:rRNA from 1 species